GGAGAUAUAGCUCAGUGGUAGAGCACGUACUUCACAUACUUCACAUCCUGAGUUCAAUCCCCAGUAACUCUA
rnacentral:tRNA from 1 species